rnacentral:tRNA from 1 species
GCAUUGGUGGUUCAGUGGUGGAAUUCUCGUCUUCCAUGCAGGAGAUCUGGGUUUGAUUUCUGGCCAGUGCA